UACGAAGGGGGCUAGCGUUGCUCGGAAUCACUGGGCGUUAAAGGGUGCGUAGGCGGGGUCUUUUAAGUCAGGGGUGAAAUCCUGGAGCUCAACUCCAGAACUGCCUUUGAUACUGAAGAUCUUGAGUUCGGGGAGAGGUGAGUGGAACUGCGAGUGUAGAGGUGAAAUUCGUAGAUAUUCGCAAGAACACCAGUGGCGAAGGCGGCUCACUGGCCCGAUACUGACGCUG
rnacentral:rRNA from 1 species